rnacentral:antisense_RNA from 1 species
GUGGGAGCUGGCUUGCCUGCGAUGACGGUAGAUCAGUCAGCCCAUGUAUUGGCUGGCCUACCGCGAUCGCAGGCAAGCCAGCUCCCAC